AUUGAACGCUGGCGGCAGGCCUAACACAUGCAAGUCGAACGGUAACAGGAAGAAGCUUGCUUCUUUGCUGACGAGUGGCGGACGGGUGAGUAAUGUCUGGGGAACUGCCUGAUGGAGGGGGAUAACUACUGGAAACGGUAGCUAAUACCGCAUAACGUCGCAAGACCAAAGAGGGGGACCUUCGGGCCUCUUGCCAUCGGAUGUGCCCAGAUGGGAUUAGCUAGUAGGUGGGGUAACGGCUCACCUAGGCGACGAUCCCUAGCUGGUCUGAGAGGAUGACCAGCCACACUGGAACUGAGACACGGUCCAGACUCCUACGGGAGGCAGCAGUGGGGAAUAUUGCACAAUGGGCGCAAGCCUGAUGCAGCCAUGCCGCGUGUAUGAAGAAGGCCUUCGGGUUGUAAAGUACUUUCAGCGGGGAGGAAGGGAGUAAAGUUAAUACCUUUGCUCAUUGACGUUACCCGCAGAAGAAGCACCGGCUAACUCCGUG
rnacentral:rRNA from 1 species